CGAGGACCACAAUCUGCCAUACCCAUAGACUGUACAUAAAUACCAGACGCUGUGGGAGUUAACUCUGGAAGAUGGCAGUAAUGCAAGGACGCAAGCUUCCCAAAGAAGAGAAGAAGAACAUGUAUUUGUUUGUCAACCCAUGGAUGUAGCUAGUGCCAAACAUAGACAUAUUAACGUUAUAACUUACAGAGGAAGACCAACCGCUGGCUUUGCCUCACCUGACGCGGCUUGAACCAGUGU